AACGAACGCUGGCGGCAUGCCUAACACAUGCAAGUCGAACGAGACCUUCGGGUCUAGUGGCGCACGUGUGCGUAACGCGUGGGAACCUGCCCUUAGGUUCGGAAUAACUCCCCGAAAGGGGUUCUAAUACCGGAUAAUUUCUUCGGACCUAAGAUCUAUCGCCUUUGGCUGCGCCAGCGUUCGAUUAGCUACUUGGUAGUGUAAAAGCCUACCAACGCGACGAUCCAUAGCUGGUCUGAGAGGAUGAUCAGCCACACUGAGACUGAGACACGGCCCAGACUCGUACGGGACGCAGCAGUGGGGAAUAUUGGACAACGGGAGAAAGCCUGAUCCAGCAAUGCGGCGUGAGUGAUGAAGGCCUUAGGGUUGUAACGCUCUUUUACCCGGGAUGAUAAUGACAGUACCGGGAGAAUAAGCCCCGGCUAACUCCGUG
rnacentral:rRNA from 1 species